UAGGGAAUCUUCGGCAAUGGACGGAAGUCUGACCGAGCAACGCCGCGUGAGUGAAGAAGGUUUUCGGAUCGUAAAGCUCUGUUGUUAGAGCAGAACGUUGGUAGGAGUGGAAAAUCUACCAAGUGACGGUAACUAACCAGAAAGGGACGGCUAACUACGUGCCAGCAGCCGCGGUAAUACGUAGGUCUCGAGCGUUGUCCGGAUUUAUUGGGCGUAAAGCCAGCGUAGGAGGUUCUUUAAGUCUGAAGUUAAAGGCAGUGGCUUCUCCAGUGUACGCUUUGGCAACUGGCGGACUUGAGUGCAGAAGGGGAGAGUGGAAUUCCAUGUGUAGCGGUGAAAUGCGUAGAUAUAUGGAGGAACGCCGGUGGCGAAAGCGGCUAUCUGGUCUGUAACUGACGCUGAGGCUCGAAAGCGUGGGGAGCAAACAGG
rnacentral:rRNA from 1 species